rnacentral:rRNA from 1 species
UACGUAGGGGGCAAGCGUUGUCCGGAAUCAUUGGGCGUAAAGCGCGUGUAGGCGGCUUGGUAAGUCUGCUCUGAAAGCCCGGGGCUCAACCCCGGGAGGCGGGUGGAUACUGUCAAGCUCGAGUCCGGAAGAGGAGUGUGGAAUUCCUGGUGUAGCGGUGAAAUGCGCAGAAUAUCAGGAGGAACACCAAUGGCGAAGGCA